GUGGGGAAUCUUGCGCAAUGGGCGAAAGCCUGACGCAGCCAUGCCGCGUGAAUGAUGAAGGUCUUAGGAUUGUAAAAUUCUUUCACCGGGGACGAUAAUGACGGUACCAGGAGAAGAAGCCCCGGCUAACUUCGUGCCAGCAGCCGCGGUAAUACGAAGGGGGCUAGCGUUGCUCGGAAUUACUGGGCGUAAAGGGCGCGUAGGCGGAUCGUUAAGUCAGGGGUGAAAUCCCAGAGCUCAACUCUGAAACUGACCUUGAUACUGGCGAUCUUGAGUGUAAGAGAGGUAUGUGGAACUCCGAGUGUAGAGGUGAAAUUCGUAGAAAGUCGGAAGAACACCAGUGGCGAAGGCGACAUACUGGCUCAUUACUGACGCUGAGGCGCGAAAGCGUGGGGAGCAAACAGGAUUAGAAACCCGGGUAGUCC
rnacentral:rRNA from 1 species